UUUCCUUCUGUCCUCAUAACAAAGCUGGAAAACCAAAAUAUUAUCCAUUUGGGCUGCUGCAGCAGGAUUUUACCCCUGCAAACAGAUUAGCAUUCGUCACAACCCCUUACUGCCUUACAGCUAAGUUGUGAGAGAAACUCCAGAAGAAGAACCCAGAAACAGAGAAUAAAAAGCAUCAAACUUUCCUCACAAACUCCCCCCAUUUUUCUCUGGAGACACUUCCCAACACAACAUAACAAUGGCCGACUUAUGGAGCAAACUGAAGAAAUCAACAAUAGUCAAAACCCAGGGGUUCCAAUCCAGGUACAUGAAGCUCCCUGCAGCAAGCCAGAGCGCCAUCAGGAAAGCCGUCGAUAGCGACCCGAAGAACCCUUCUUUUCUGAUCGUCAUCACCACAUCCCAUCUACGGUCAGGAAACAUGGUAAGAUCAGUCUCUGUUUUUUAUUUUUUCUUUCAAACUUUCCUCAUUAGUUAACGGCGGAGUGUGUCUGUGUGUGUAUUAGAGUUGGAUUACCGAUGGUUAGCUAACGGCGAGGGUUGACUCGGUUUCUCAUCUUCCACUUUUGCUCACAGUGUGUUUUCGUUUGUGUUCUGUUUCUCCGAUUCCGUGGUGCUAAAUUGUUUCUUUUCCUUUCGGAAAUUGCAGUGCUUUCCGGCCAGGAUCCUAUGGAGCACAUGAGCGAAGAUUGUUCGAAGAUAACGCUGUGUCUGAUCGACAGAGCGAAGUGUGUUGUGGAUUAGAGGGAGGGUAAGCUGUUCGAGACGAAAGAGUACGGGAGGAAGUAUAUAUGCGGGCGGAAGCGGUUUUGCACGAAACAUAAGUUGGCAGUGGGAGACGUCUGUCUCCUCCAGCUUGUCGAUAAAGAGACUAACCUCUUCCACAUUCAAAUAUUCCGCCGUGGUUGAGGCUGAUCGAAGUUCGUUUGGGUCGUUGGUUUGUAGGAUCUAGUUGGUUGUUGCGUUUGUGUUUCUUGUGCUGUUAUGUUCUGUUGUUGGAAAAAGGACCUCCACCCCAUAAUCUUCUUCCAAGCUCAAGAGGCGGCAUCUGCAGGUAAAUGAGACCAAAUAUCACAUCCUCGAAGCUUAUACAACAAAGUCCAGGCAACCCAAAGGGAGCCAGAACACAAAACCAGACUCCAAAAAUGGCAGCAAACGCAUGCAACAUUCCAUCAUUUUAAACUUCGAAUACCAACCCCUCCUUCUUUAGUAGAGAACACAAGGUUGUGCCAGCUUACUCUUGCUCUUUUAGACCCAUUGUCAUCAGAGUUCCAAACAAACUUAGAACAAAUAUCUUUCACCUG
rnacentral:lncRNA from 1 species